UCCCUGGUGACCGAUAGCGGAUAGUACCGUGAGGGAAUGGUGAAAAGUACCCCGGGAGGGGAGUGAAAUAGUACCUGAAACCGUGUGCCUACAAGCCGUGGGAGCGUCGGAAGCACUUCGGUGCUUCUCGUGACUGCGUGCCUUUUGAAGAAUGAGCCUGCGAGUUUGCGGUGUGUUGCGAGGUUAACCCGGGUGGGGUAGCCGUAGCGAAAGCGAGUCCGAACAGGGCGUUGGAGUAGCACGCUCAAGACCCGAAGCGGAGUGAUCUAGCCAUGGGCAGGUUGAAGCGGAGGUAAGACUUCGUGGAGGACCGAACCCACCAGGGUUGAAAACCUGGGGGAUGACCUGUGGUUAGGGG
rnacentral:rRNA from 1 species